rnacentral:tRNA from 1 species
GCCGAUGUGGCGUAACUGGCAGACGCACGGGACUUAAAAUCCCGCGGGUUAAUAGCCCGUACCGGUUCGAUUCCGGUCAUCGGCACCA